CUGCGGGUCUACGGAGUGGGAACUUUUCGGAUUUGAAAUCAGCGUGUUCGAAAAUAUUUCAGAUCUAAGAGAUGCUUAAUGAAAGUGAACGAUAUCGGGUCACAACACACGGACUACUAAUAAACAAAAUUUUGAUCUGGACAAGUCUAGACAAAAAUUUCAUCACAGCUUGAAAGAGCAUCACUAAAAUUAGUAAUAUUCCGAAGUUUCGUUGCGAAAUCGGUUGUAAAAUGCGCAUAAUGUAGCCCCGCGGGGUUUGCCGUUUUUCAGUCAUUUUGUAUUACGCACGGGAAAUUACCUUUUUUCAGAAAGCGGUAUCAAUUUCCCGGAGUAAAUAUGAAAACAUAGUUUUUCAUAUCUUUGAGGAUGGUUCUGAAAUAGUUUUUGUUGCCCGGUGUCACAGGAAUCCCCCCCCCCCCGUGGAGAUUCGCCCCCUCUCAAGUUUAACAACAACCGCCACGGUGAUAUCGAUUAUUUUUUAAAAAUUAGUUUUUUAAAGAUUAACAAAAAAUGCAUGGAUGUGUUUUGAUGUCAUAAUUUUGAAUUAAAGCUCAUAGUAACUGAUUUCAAAUGAGUCAUGUAAUAAUUAUCCCAUGCAACCGUUUGGAAAUCGGAAUUUUUACGGAUCUCUUAAAGGGGGGCCAAUCUCCUAGGAAUUGUGGGGGGGGGGGCGAAAUUCCUGGGACACCCGCCAGCAGAUUCGGAAUGUGUCUAUUACCAGUUACGUGUUCACACUCUAUUACCAGUUAUGUUUUACAAGUUAAAUGAUCAGAUUAUGUAUUUACAAGUUAAAUGAACGAGAGAAUUACAUUUGCAUUGUACAAACGAUAAACAUAUACAGAAAUUUAGAUGAUACUCAGCAAAUAGAGAACUGCACAAAAUGCACCAAUAUAGAACUGCACAUAACUAUUAUAAUUAUUAACAUAUUAUUAUAAAGAUAGAAGGCUAUGUAGUUACUAAAUUUGCAAGACGAUCACAUUAUUACAAAAUGUAUAUCUGGAGGUUGCACUUCGUGCCACUUUCUACAUUUUUUUGUAAAAGGAAUAAAAACUAGACUUGGCCUGAACAUGUCAAAAUAUAUAUAUUAAGCUAGGCCUAUCACAUAAUGCGUAGACAGUGCAGAUAUCAGACCUGUUUUACUCAGAGUCUUGUUUUACAAUAAACUUCAAAUAAUGUUGCACGCGUGAAAGCGAGGCUCUAUAGCCAAAAGUUCGGGUUA